GACGAACGCUGGCGGCGUGCUUAACACAUGCAAGUCGAACGGAAAGGCCCAGCUUGCUGGGUGCUCGAGUGGCGAACGGGUGAGUAACACGUGGGUGAUCUGCCCCUAACUUCGGGAUAAGCUUGGGAAACUGGGUCUAAUACCGGAUAGGACAAUCGUUUAGUGUCGGUUGUGGAAAGUUUUUUCGGUUAGGGAUGAGCCCGCGGCCUAUCAGCUUGUUGGUGGGGUAAUGGCCUACCAAGGCGUCGACGGGUAGCCGGCCUGAGAGGGUGGACGGCCACAUUGGGACUGAGAUACGGCCCAGACUCCUACGGGAGGCAGCAGUGGGGAAUAUUGCACAAUGGGCGCAAGCCUGAUGCAGCGACGCCGCGUGGGGGAUGACGGCCUUCGGGUUGUAAACCUCUUUCGACAGGGACGAAGCUUUGGUGACGGUACCUGUAGAAGAAGCUCCGGCUAACUACGUG
rnacentral:rRNA from 1 species